rnacentral:rRNA from 1 species
CUACGGGAUGCACCAGUGGGGAAUAUUGCACAAUGGGCGCAAGCCUGAUGCAGCCAUGCCGCGUGUAUGAAGAAGGCCUUCGGGUUGUAAAGUACUUUCAGCGGGGAGGAAGGGAGUAAAGUUAAUACCUUUGCUCAUUGACGUUACCCGCAGAAGAAGCACCGGCUAACUCCGUGCCAGCAGCCGCGGUAAUACGGAGGGUGCAAGCGUUAAUCGGAAUUACUGGGCGUAAAGCGCACGCAGGCGGUUUGUUAAGUUAGAUGUGAAAUCCCCGGGCUCAAACUGGGAACUGCAUCUGAUACUGGCAAGCUUGAGUCUCGUAGAGGGGGGUAGAAUGCCAGGUGUAGCGGUGAAAUGCGUAGAGAUCUGGAGGAAUACCGGUGGCGAAGGCGGCCCCCUGGACGAAGACUGACGCUCAGGUGCGAAAGCGUGGGGAGCAAACAGGAUUAGAUACCCCGGUAGUC